UACGUAGGGUGCAAGCGUUACUCGGAAUUACUGGGCGUAAAGCGUGCGCAGGCGGUGAUGUAAGACAGGUGUGAAAUCCCCGGGCUUAACCUGGGAACUGCAUUUGUGACUGCAUCGCUGGAGUGCGGCAGAGGGGGAUGGAAUUCCGCGUGUAGCAGUGAAAUGCGUAGAUAUGCGGAGGAACACCGAUGGCGAAGGCAAUCCCCUGGGCCUGUACUGACGCUCAUGCACGAAAGCGUGGGGAGCAAACAGG
rnacentral:rRNA from 1 species